rnacentral:rRNA from 1 species
AUACGGAGGGUGCAAGCGUUGUUCGGAAUUACUGGGCGUAAAGGGCGCGCAGGCGGCUUGAUAAGUCAGAUGUGAAAGCCCACGGCUCAACCGUGGAAGUGCAUCUGAAACUGUCUGGCUUGAGUACUGGAGAGGAAAGUGGAAUUCCUGGUGUAGAGGUGAAAUUCGUAGAUAUCAGGAGGAACACCGGUGGCGAAGGCGACUUUCUGGACAGAUACUGACGCUGAGGCGCGAAAGCGUGGGGAGCAAACAGGAUUAGAAACCCUAGUAGUCC